GACGUAGGUGGCGAACGUUAUCCGGAAUUAUUGGGCGUAAAGGGUGCGUAGGUGGCCUGGCAAGUUAUCAGUGGCAAAUCGAGGCUCAACCUCGUGGAAACUGGUAAUACUGUCUGGCUUGAGUACAGGAGAGGUUAACGGAACUCUAUGUGGAGCGGUAAAAUGCACAGAUAUAUAGAAGAACAUCAAUAAAGGCGAAGGCAGUUAACUAUUCUGUUACUGACACUGAGGCACGAAAGCGUGGGGAGCAAAACGG
rnacentral:rRNA from 1 species